AGAUGGAGUUUCGCUCUUGUAACCAGGCUGGAGUGCAAUGACACGAUCUCAGCUCACUGCAGUUUUCGUCUUCUGGGUUCAAGCAAUUCUCCUUCCUCAGCCCCCUAAGUAGCUGGUGGUGCCCACCACCAUGCCCAGAGGCAGAAUCACACUAUGUUGCCCAGGCUGUUCCUGUAAUGACCUCAAGUGAGCCUCCCAUCUUGUCCUCCCGAAGUGUUGAGAUUACAGGAAUGAGCUAACAUUGCCUGGCCCAAUCUUGUUUUUCUAGUUUUAAU
rnacentral:lncRNA from 1 species